rnacentral:rRNA from 1 species
UACGAAGGGGGCUAGCGUUGCUCGGAAUCACUGGGCGUAAAGGGUGCGUAGGCGGGUCUUUUUAAGUCAGGGGUGAAAGCCCAAGGCUCAACCUUGGAAUUGCCUUUGAUACUGAGGGCCUUGAGACCGGAAGAGGUCGGCGGAACUGCGAGUGUAGAGGUGAAAUUCGUAGAUAUUCGCAAGAACACCAGUGGCGGAAGGCGGAGCCGGACUGGUCCGGUUCUGACGCUGAGGCGCGAAAAGCGUGGGGAGCAAACAGG